GUAAUUAUUAAAGUUUUCAGACGCUGAUUUAAAAUUAAAAGGGUUAUAGAUUGUCAAUGGCAGGCAAGCCUGCCAAAGAAACUUGGGUACUCAAAAGACAAGGAAGGAGAGAAGAGACCGGAGUCUCUCUCAUAACAGUGGAAAACCACCGAAAUUAAUGAUCCUUCCGCAGGUUCACCUACGGAAA
rnacentral:misc_RNA from 1 species